rnacentral:rRNA from 1 species
GACGAACGCUAGCGGUGUGCUUAACACAUGCCAGUCGAACGGAAAGGCCCUGCUUUUGUGGGGUGCUCGAGUGGCGAACGGGUGAGUAACACGUGAGUAACCUGCCCUUGACUUUGGGAUAACUUCAGGAAACUGGGGCUAAUACCGGAUAGGAGCUCCUGCUGCAUGGUGGGGGUUGGAAAGUUUCGGCGGUUGGGGAUGGACUCGCGGCUUAUCAGCUUGUUGGUGGGGUAGUGGCUUACCAAGGCUUUGACGGGUAGCCGGCCUGAGAGGGUGACCGGCCACAUUGGGACUGAGAUACGGCCCAGACUCCUACGGGAGGCAGCAGUGGGGAAUAUUGCACAAUGGGCGGAAGCCUGAUGCAGCAACGCCGCGUGCGGGAUGACGGCCUUCGGGUUGUAAACCGCUUUCGCCUGUGACGAAGCGUGAGUGACGGUAAUGGGUAAAGAAGCACCGGCUAACUACGUG